CCCAUUUCCACGUCACAUUUCAGCUUGGGUUCAGCAGGACGGUGUUUUUCUCACUGGAAACAGCUGCUGCCUCCCGAAGUUUGCUGGGAGGACUCGCCCUGCACAGAAAAAAGCAGAGGAGCACCUGCAUUUGUUGUCACUUGAGCUGAUGAGAACUCCCUCGCUGGGGUGGCUGACGAGGAGAAACGACACUGCUGUUUCCUGGGGGGAAAAAGGCAUUUUUGGCAGUCCAGAUGCAGAUAGGAACUCGCACUGGAGCAAAUGAGUGUCCCGAGGUGGAUUCCCAAAUGUGCCCACACGGAGCUGGGCACUGCAGGGCUCCGUGGUCAGAGGAGGAGCAGCAUGAAUUUCAAUUUCCAGUCUUCUAUUCCGGGCUCUGAGUCACUGGGUGAUGCUGGUUGAGACAGUUGGGAAGCAGAAAUUACAGCCUGUGGUGGUGCUGGACGCUGCUGGGUGUCCCUGAGAGGGUGGCACAGGCCAGGGAGGGAGUGACAGCUCCAGGGUCAGCUGCACCCACAGCAGGACGUGGGAGGGAGGUCACAGAAAACCUCAUUUCUCUCAAAAGCCACGAAAUAACUGAACAUCUCUUAGUUCAUACCAGUACAGAAGACUGAGAUCUCUUACAGAGGGUUUUAUUUAGGUGGGAAAAUCCCUCCAGGGUCACCAAAUCCGACCUGUGCCCAAUCCCCAGCCCGGAGCGCUCAGUGCCACAUCCAGGAGUCGCUUGGACACCCAGGGACGGGCACUCCAAACCUCCCUGGGCACUUCCACCCUUUCCAGGAGGAAAUUCCUGCUGGUGUCCAACCUCUGAGGCUCUUUCCCC
rnacentral:lncRNA from 12 species